GAUAAGAUAGGGUCGUCAAAACGACUAAAAUCAUAACAUAAAAAUGCAUUGUGGAAUACUCGAAAGCUUCUUUUUUUUUAGUCCAGCAAGAUGGUAAACAUAAAAUCAAAAAGCAGAAAGAGAAAUGAGACUUUUUUUUUGAUCGAAUUUUCUAUUUCAUAUAUUUUAUUUGACUUUAUAUAAAAAUAUAAAAAAUGGGAAUUUUUUCUUGUUGCUUGAAUAUUAACUAUUCAAUUAAAAUGAAAUAUUACAACUAUAACAGACAUUUUUGUUUUCAAAUUAAUUGGAACAAAAGAGGCCCGGCUGGGUACUGACCAGACCAGGCCAUGAGAAUAAGAGGGUCCUUUCGAACAAAAUCAAGACAAAGAAAAGAGGUCUUCUUUAUUUUUCUUGAGAUUCUUGGCUCUUCUGAGCCCUUCCUUUACUUUAGAUAAAGAGAUAAAGGAAAUUGAUGAUAAAAGUUGUACAUAUCUAUAUAAUAUAGAAAGAAGAAAAGAGAGAAAGAAAGAUUCUUUCCUUUAUCUUAAUGUGCUAUCUCAUGUAUUAAUUAUCUUUUUCAAUUGGGAGAGAUGGCUGAGUGGACUAAAGCGGCGGAUUGCUAAUCCGUUGUACGAGUUAAUCGUACCGAGGGUUCGAAUCCCUCUCUUUCCGUUGAUGACUUGAUUUUUUUUUUUUCAAAUUUCGAAAUCCUUUGUUCUUAUUCUUAGUUAAAUGUGUGGAAUAGACCAAAUCCUAAGAAAAUUUGAAAAUCAAGCAAGGAAAAAACUUUUUUAUUUUAUUCUUCACGUCCAGGAUUACGUCCGGGAUCAUUAGAUAGGAAUCCAAAGAUGAAGAGAGAAACAAAAAAUAUCACUACUGUGUAAACGAAGAGUUUGAGAGUAAGCAUUACACAAUCUCCAAGAUGAUUUUUUUGAAAAAAAAAAAGAGAAUAGAUCAUCCAUCGCAUAUCCUAGUUUGACACCAAGCAACGAAGCUUUUUCUCUAAAAGAAUUUUCAGAAAUUCUUUUAUAAUAAGAGUUUGUCAUUAACCAAAUUUUUUAUAUAUACAAGAGGAGCCUAAUAAGGUCUUUCACUGGAAAGGAAAGCGCCAAAAAAGAAGGAAAUUAAGUUAAGCCGGAUUUCUCGUGACUAUCCAAGAAUUUCAAUGUUUGAAUCGAGAUUUCAAACGGUAAAGCUUAUCUGAUUUUAUUGAUUUUCGAAUUUUUUCUCGAAUAAAUCAUGAAUUUUCUAGGAUAUUAUUAAGGAUCUCAUCGAAAACUUACAGCAGCUUGCCAAACAAAGGCUAAGAGAAAAAAGAACAGAGGUAUGACUGGCAUAAUAUCUACGAUUGGAUUCAAAAAAGCAUAGGCCUCGGGCAAUUUGCCGAAGAAAAAACUACUCGAAUAAAGGGUCGAAUUAAGACAGAUACCGAUCAAACUAAAGGUAUUAAGCAUAACAGACUUUUUGUUCUUGGAGAUAAUUGCAUUUUGAUUGAGUUAUUUAUAUAAGGAAAAGGAAAGUAAGUUAUAAGGAAAAGGAAAGUAAGUAAGGUAAACAAAAAAUCCUUCUUUUUCUUUGAACCCACCCAAUCAAAAAUCCUCCUUUGAGAAAAGGAGAAUCGAAAAAAUAAUAUUUUCAUACAAUAUCUUAAUUGAAUUAUAUGUAAUGAUCAAUAAAUUAAGUUGAAUUCUAUAUCUACACAUACCAAAAACAUAGAAAAAUCCGAAUACCAAUCUAAUCGAUUCUAUAGAUAUUUGGGCUAGAGUUGACAAACAAACAAAACCAGCAAUAUACUUUAUUAGUAUCGCAUAGAAAUCUAAAUGGGGCGUGGCCAAGUGGUAAGGCAACGGGUUUUGGUCCCGCUAUUCGGAGGUUCGAAUCCUUCCGUCCCAGAACAUAUAUAUUCUCUGACAAUAUAGAUUGCUUUUUUAACAAUGUUCUGUUUAAAAUCGAAAUGUUAGCUGGAAUGUGAUUGUUGUUUCUGAUUUUUUUCUUCGAUGAAUCGUUUUUUUUUUUUUCAAAAACUGAAUCGAGAUACGAAAGAAUCCAUAUUCCCUAUCUCAUAUUCUCUACCCCCUAAAUUAGCCUAAUUAGAUUCAAUUUGCUUUUUUGUGGAUUUCUUGACUUUUCGCCAAGAAGGGGUUUUUGGUACUAAUUCAAUUCACUAAGUCUCUUAAUUCUUAAUCAAUGAGGUAGGCUAAAAUAGAAAAAAGGAGCAAAAACUGGACUUAAUCUGGGCUUGUUUGGCUUUGUGCCCAGCCAGCUCGCAUUUCGUAAAAAAAAGACUAGGACAUCCCCUUCUUUUGAUUUAUGCUGCAUCAGUCCCAGAGAAUGGGGUAGAUAGGAGUUAAUCAGUGAUGGGAAGGCGUUCAUUUCAAUAUCUAUAAACGGUGACAAUUGCUCAGUCUAUUUGAUCGAAUUGAUAGAUACGAAACCCUCCCCAUUCUUUGGAUUUUAUUAAUCAGAUGAAAAAAAAAAAAAAAAGACUUAUCUUUUUUCCUAAGAUGAUCAAAAGUUAUUUUUAACUAUCAAAUUUUCUUGGAAUAAUGAUGUCGAGAGGGGAACUUUCGAAAUUGAUUCGAAAUUUCGAAAGAGAAAUAGUUUAAAUCAUUCCUUAGAAGCUGAAUCUUUCUCUCCUAUUAAGUCACGUGAAGAUGCAGAAUUAAAAAGAAUUCGUUUAUUCGUCUUAUUUUAUUUAUAUAAAAAAAUUUUUUAUUAUAUAUAUUUAUUAAUUAAUAUUAUAAUGUUAGACAAUUUAAUAUUAGCGAUGGGGUCUUACUAAGACUUCUUCAGAAAAAUAUUUAUCCACCCUAUAUCUAUAGUAUUAAUCUAUAGUAUUAUUUAUAUCUAUAUACUAUAGAUAUAGAAGAUAUAGAAAAUACUUUAGAUUAUGGUGUUUAUACAUCAGCCCAACCAAUGACUAUUCAUGAUUCCAUAAUUGAAUCAAUUCCAUACCGGUUCUUAGAGGAAUGUUAUGGUAAAACUUCGUUUGAAACGAUGUGGUAGAAAGCAACGUGCGACUUGAAGGACACGAUCCGUUGUGGAUUUGUACAUCCACCAUUUUUUGUAGGAAUGAAGGUGCUCUUAACUCGACAUCAUUGGUUCUGUUUCACUAGAACCCCUCGUUUUUUGUUGUCUUGGAAUGUAAAUAGUCCAUGAUGGAGCUCGAGUAGAAAGUAUUAAUUUCUUUCUCGGGGCAAGGGUCUAGGGUUAAUGCCAAUCAAUAAAACAAUUGAAACAACUUCGUAAAUAUAUCUAAUAUAUCUUAGGUAUGGAAAUCGAAAGAAUCCAAUUCGAGCAAGUUUCAAAUUAAAAAAUUUAUUGGAAUUGAUCAAACUUUUUCGAUCCAAAGUGUUUCACGAGGGAAUCCAUCAUCUUGUAGGAUUCUUUCAUAAAAAUCGCAAAAAGGGUAUGUUGCUGCCAUUUUGAAAGGAUUAAAAAGCACCGAAGUAAUGUCUAAACCCAAUGAUUUAAAAUAAAACAAAGAUAAAGGAUCCCAGAACAAGGAAACACCUUUUUAAUUGUCUUAAUAACUGGAUCAGACUGAAGAAUCCGAUUUUAAACGAGACAAACAAAAAAGGAGGAAAGACCGCUCAAUAAAUGAAAUUGCCGAAAGAUUU
rnacentral:lncRNA from 1 species